AUUCGCACACAUACAUCACC
rnacentral:miRNA from 1 species